AGAAGGUGAAGAAUCAUUGUGAUUCCACAGAAUGGUCUGAAGAUGUUGGCGACAAAAUUAACUUUAUAGUUGUCGUGUCUUUUCCAUUGGAUCCAUGUGAGAGGACACUGAAACCAAAGAUACCCCUCAGAGCUAUCUCAGACUACACAACACAACAUUGUAACUUAUGGUUUUGGCCCAUAAUUUCUUAACCACCACGUACGUUUUACCUUGUCCCUGUAAUAUUAAUCCUUGUGCAAUG
rnacentral:lncRNA from 1 species